UCAGCUGCCUUUCCCAGCCGCAGCAAUCUUCUUUCGGUGGUUAUUCAUUGGCUAACUUCUCAUUCAGCCCACUUCUUUCCCUGGUCUGCCAGACCUGUCAAUCUGUACUGAGUCAAAAAAGUCGUCACUGAGAACUCCCCAAGCAAAAGGAGAGAACAGCCUGCUCGAAAGAAAAGACAAGCAAAAUAGCUGGGCUGUGCAUCGGUGGAGGAGGAGAACAAAGGCUUGGAUAGGCUUGAAGGUGCAACCAAGGGGAGCUCUUCAAAAGGACAGUGAACAAACCCAGAAAUAAGACAGUGCUGUGUUUGAAGAAGGGCAGUAAGAGGAGAGCAGAGACAAGAUGAGCAAAACCCCAUACAAGAAGUUGGAAGAAAAUGCACCUGAAGUCCAGGAUCCACCCCCCUAUAUGGAAAAUCAACCAGCAACUUCUGGUAGUGAUUUCCUGGUGCCCCCCAGGUACCAAACUCCUUAUGAUCCAGCUCCGGCAGGAUACAACCAAGGUCUGGUCAUUCAAUCAACCCAUACCAUGAACGUCACACGUGUCCAGCCCACCAAGGAACCUGAUUACAUGGCCUACUCCAUCUUCACCAUGCUUUGUUGUUGCCUACCUCUGGGAAUUGCUGCCCUAAUUUACUCCUCACAGACUCGAGAAGCCAAUCACAAUGGAGAUGCAGUAUCUGCUCGACGAAAUUCCAGGCUGGCACGCAAUUUGGCCCAUACAGCAUUUGGAGUGGGGCUUGGGGCCAUAGCUCUAUACGUCAUCUUUCUUGUAUUUGUAUAUAACCAAAAAGCCUCUGAGAUGAUACACCAUCCCUAUACUAUAUCACCAUAAAUGUAAGGGUAAAAAUACUAGAAUAUCCAAGACAUUCUAAGAUAGUCCAAACAACUAACAAAAUUGCUUAAUCAUUACAUGAAUACAAUCCUAUGUUGCUGACUGGUAAGCUGCUGAAAUACUAAAGCACUGAAUUAAUGCUAAAUACUAAAAUGCCAAAAUAAUUUAGAAAUGAUUCUAGAGAGGUAUAAUAAAAUGUGAGGUGACAUAUUAGAGUGGUUAAGAUUCUUCUUGAAGUAUCUCAAAUAUGGGAAGCCACACUAUAAUGUGAUUGCACAAUCCUUGCACAAACUGCAAUAGCAAUUGUAGAAUGUGUUGUGACAUUCCUAGCACAUGUUGUUAACCACUAAAAGGCAGAUAUCAGGGUUGCUGUCUUCUAAGUUUCCAUGAUAAAUUGGCAAGAAAGAGGAGAUUAGGUCUUUGUGCCAUAGAGAAUAAAAAGGGAAGGUAAAAGAAUAUGAUGGAACUGACUUCCCUCAAUGGGCAAGAGCAAAAAUGUUCUUGCAGAGCAAUGCUGUUGAAUCAUCCUUCUAAAGUGCUGAUGGUAGUAUGUUGCAGCCAAGAUGAAAAUGCCCAGACAUGCUUGCCCUUUCAAAGCUAGCUUCCUUCCUCCAACCAACUCUUCUUCUAAACUGUUUACAUCAUCCAAACUCCUACCUAAGCCCUACUUUCCAUGAUCAGUGGUUCCAACUGAGUCUCACUGCAACAUGUUACUGUAAAUGAUAGGCUGGAACCCUAAAUGCUCAUAUGUGUGUUUGUGUUAUGGCAAGAUCUUUAAAGAAAAGGCACUUGCUCAGAGAUUUCAUCCCUAGAACUGAAGAAUGUUAGUGCCAGCAAAUCAAAAUUUUGAGACGACAUUUCAUAUAAUAAGUUUCUCUACCUUCUGCCCUCCAGAUAUGUUGGACAACAAAUUCCAUAAUUUAUGUGGAGUGGUAAUUAUAGGAGAUGAAGCCAAACACAUCUAAAUGAUACUAGAUGCUCUGUAAACCAAAAUAAGGGCACUGUUUGAACUAGAACCAGAAUGAACUGAUGGUCAACAGACAGCUUUGGAGAACACCUCCUUGAUCUUCUGCCUUCUCCUCUUUAUGGACCUUCCACAUGUCCUCCCAUCUGGAUCAGAGCAACUCUGCUAAAAUCCUCUUUCUUCAACAACUCGGUUCAACAAAUCAUUAUUGCAGUUAAAUCUCUGCCACAGAAUUCUAAAAGUUUGGUUUUGACUAAUUGCUUCUUAGAGAUGAAGUAUACAGUACUAAUUCUGAAUCUGCACACCUGCUAAAUGAACUCCAUUGAUCAUGUUACAGGCUGAAGCAUCAAUGUAUUAGGCAAUCAUCCUCUGCAAAUAUUUAGUGAAAAGUAUGCUUCAGUUUCAGUAUUUUUUGCUUGAGUUCAGUAUUAUUUGCAUGCUUGUGACCAUCAGUGCCUAUGGGGCCUAUGUGGGGUGCAGGGGUAUUUUUUAUAAGGCCUAUGCUUGGGGUUAAGCUGCUGAACCAUCCAGAACAUUUGUAUGCCAACUUCUGAUUUAGUUUUGAUUUUAAAAGGAAUCUAGAAAAAAGGCAAGUGAAAUAGGGAGCCUAACGGAUACCAGGGGUGGCAUGUACAGCAUGGGUAGCCCACUGAUGAAUCAGGCAGCAUAUAGAUUCUUUUCAUAAAUAAACAUUAUCUGUUGUUGUUGUUUAUUCGUUUAGUCACUUCCGACUCUUCGUGACUUCAUGGACCAGCCCACGCCAGAGCUUCCUGUCGGUCGUCAACAUCCCCAGCUCCCCCAGGGACAAGUCCGUCACCUCUAGAAUAUCAAAACAUUAUCUACCAGUGUCCUAGUCAUCCAGAAGAGACAAUGAUAAAAAGAUAGCAGCUAAAUCCAUGUAAACAUUAAAAGAAACUAUCUGACUGUCCUGCCAAAUGUCUCUUAAAGCGACCUAACAAUCUCAGGGAGCCAUUCAUCUCCUCCUGUUCAACCUUCUGAACAUAUGAAAAGAGUAGACGGUAUGCUCAACAUUGUUCUCCUACAGCAAGAAUGGAGAAUAGCCCCAAGACAUUGUCUUCUUAAACAAAUAUUGCAGUAUUAAAACUGUUUACAUUAUUCUAUGAUGGAUCUUUGGGCAAAACAUUGUUCUACCAUUUUCCAAAAAAUAUUAUUUUCAUUUCAACAUGUU